rnacentral:lncRNA from 1 species
UCUUGUACACAUACUCCUUCAUUAACGAGAACACGGGGGAUUUUUUUUUUGGGGUGGAGGGGGGGUUGCCUCUUCUUCAUCAUCUGAAGGAACACUCCAUUUCUUGGAAUUGGUACGUAAAACACCACUCAACCUUACCACAAAAAGCAUGACCCUCACCUCAAUUUUCCAUGGUUUCUUAGGAAGGGGUAGACGCACACACACAGUAACAUACAUACACACACAAACCAGUGAAAAGAAGGGGCCAAAUAUUUCAUUUUUAGGGAGAGAUUGGAACAGAGAGGGAGAGAGAUCAGAGAAACCAAAUCGAGAGAGUGUUAGGCAAAGAAAAGAGAUAUGAGGGAGAAAGCAGACAGGGGGAAGUGAUCGGAAACUGGCAAACCCGGCCAGAAAAUGUUGGGACUCUCCAGAAUCCUUCUUGACUCAUCAUUUUUUUCCACCGCCUGAGCUCACCGGAGCUCAGGCUACACGGAUUUUGUUUUUCUAACGUGUUGACUGGCUUUUAGGUUAGUCUAUUCUCGUGGUUCAUUAUGGAUAUCGGAUUUCAGGGUCUUCACGAUUAAGUGGUCAGUAUUCGUGGAUUGGAACUCUGUUCAUCUCAAUCAGUCCAUCGCUAUCAAUAUCAAAGUUGGAAUUCGAUUUGGAGAUUCAUGUUGAGGUUCCGGUUUAAGAAUUUCGAUUUCAGAUUUUUUUAUCAACAACCAGGACAAGUUUCAUUGAGGUUCAUUUUUUCUCCUGAUCUUUACUUUAUCUUGAUUUUUUAUUGAUGUUGUGGGUGUGAGUGAUUUAUGUGUUGUGUGUUUAGUUUGAAUCUUCGUUAGUUGUUUGUAUUUGAUGUUCGUUUCAGAUUUUGAGACGUGAUUGGAUAAUUGAAGCAUGCGCUAAUCAUGUGGUUAAAAAUGGACUUGGGGUGGAAUCAAAAGUUUCUAAAAGUUGCAUAGUUAAAUUUUGGUCGAUUGUCGUUUUUUUCAAUUCGGGAUAAACAUGAAUGUGAUCGAGCUCAGAUAGGUAAACAUAGGUCGGGUAGCUGAAUUUAGGGAUUGUGAAUUGAUAGAAUACUUGAGUGGUGUGAUUGAAUGGUUUUUGACUAUAUUGCUUUGGGAUCACUUGUAUCAUUUGGCCGGAGAAUGCCCCGAAGUACUUGUAUUAUUUUAUUCGGGGAAUGGCCCGAGGUAUUUUGUAUCCGGAGGCCCAAGGCAGCGGGUAAAAUGUUGGAGCAUAGUUUAGUAUAGGUUAGAAUAGGAUUUAUAUUUUUUGCAUUUUUUUUACUUUGAACUGUAUAAUUGGACUGAACAUUAUAAUUUGGAUUUUGAUUUGGUUUGUGUUUGUUUGUUUGAUUGUUGUGUGUUAUGUGGUUUAUACAUUCGUAGUGUCAGAAUUAGCCAAUACGCUCCACCAAGAGACCGUGGUCGAACCACGGGAUCGAGGGGUGCCUAACACCUCCCCCUUGGUCAACAAAAUUCCUUAGCCGAAAUCUCUGUUCGCAGAUUAGUUUAAUGAGUCAAAUCAUUUUGAGAAGGAUUUUUCAACAGUGACUUGUCACACCGGAUUUAUGUCAAGUGGCGACUCUGAGUUUUGAAUGUAAAAAUAAUCAUUUUUUAGAACAAAUCUUCAUUUUUGUCACUUACUAGUAAAAACCCUUUCAAACCAUAAAAUGGAUCUUUUUGGAGUUAAAAAAGGGGUGUGACAAUUUUCAUAAAACUUCAGAUAACAAUUUUGUAUCAACUGUGUAAGAAAAAUUAUUCAUUGAAUUUGUUAUUUCCUACAAAAAGAAUUUAAAAAAUCAAGAAUAAAAAUAUGAAAUUCACGUUGACUAACGUAUAAAACUAUAUGAAAUUCACGUUGACUAACGUAUAAAAUUUGUUUCACGGAUAAAAUUUAUAUUGCAAGAAAAUAAGGAAAAAAUAAAUAUUUGUGUAUGAAAAAAUUAAGAAUAAAAUGUGGAUUUCAACAAUUUGAUCGAAGUGUAUGCAAUGAAAGCAAUUUAAAGUAAUUAUUAAUAUCAAUGAAAAUAAAGUAUGAAAGAACAAAGAAACGCAUAUGAGAGAAAUUUAUGAAAAGACAACAUUAUUAAAUUUUUUGAAAGGAUUAACUAAUAUAAAAAAAUUAUUUAAGAAAAUGAAAGAAGGAGAAAUUUUGGAUUUCUUAUAAUCCUUUUACCGUAUUUUCUUUCUUUUCUUUUUUACUUUGUUAGGUGGAGGAUUAAGGAGAAAAUUAAGAACUUAUUAUCAAUCCUUUAUUUUAGAAAAUAGAUGAGGGAGAAAGAUAAAUUCAAAUAUUUAAGAGAGAUUUUAACUGAUUAUAUAUAUAUUUAAAAAUUGCUAUAGCUUACAAUUAAAAACUUAAUUCAACAAAUAUAGAAAAAAAUAUAGUUACAAUGUACAAUAAAUAAUUUAAAAAGUACAUACAAAAUAAUUUUUACAUAAAAUAAUGGUAAAUUGACACAAUGUAACAAUUUAUGAUCCAAUUUGACAUCUAAUAACGAUAUUUAACAUUUCUAGCCGAAAUAAAUAACCCAUAAACUUUUUCUCUUUCUAUGAAUUGUUCUACAGUAUAUAUGAAUCAUUUUUCCAAUUUUUUUGGAAAAUCAAGUGAUUUAAGAAUCCAAAGGAAAAACACACCAGUUUUUUGUUCCCCCAUUAACGUGCAUGCAUGCGGUGCAGAAACAACUGCAGAAAUGUGAAAUGCGGCCUCGAAAGGGAUGCAAACCUUCGAGGAAAUAACACACUAUUUUGAGAAAAAGUAUGAUUUUUUGGAUGGUUGUGGUUGUUCGGAAAAGAUACACUUUUUCAAAUGGACAGUGUUAGGAAUCAGGCAGAAAUAAAGCAAACCACAAGCAAAAAGAAAAUAAGAGCACACAGAUUUAUGUGAAAAUCCUUGCAGAAAAAACUACGGGCAGAGGCAGAGGAUGUUUCACUAUAAUGAAAGGAGAGGAGUACAAUGUGGAGAAUGAGUAUUUUCUGGGUACCCAAAACAACCCAGUAAAUGCACUUAUAUAAUAUGUGCAUGCAAAAAAGUCCUAGGCCCAGAAAACAUAAAGGUGUAUGGGUCUAUCGACCCGAUUCCUAUGCUACAACCACAGACCCCAUUGAAAAUCACAAACAUGGAUCGCACCACGAAACUUUCUGGGCCGGAUCAAUAAAAUUAGGGUCACAACUCUAACAAUCUCCACCUUGACAUGAAUUCUAAUUCAGAACUCAAAUCCAUUUCAAGACAAACUCUCCACCCCUUCCACAAAAGCCCCUAAGGGCAUAUCUUAACAGCUAACACUAACCAAGUCCAAGCAAUGCUCAAACUUGGCACAUGGUAGUGUCUUGGUCAUCAUAUCAAUAGGAUUAUCAUAAGUACUAAUCUUGCUCACCACAAUAUCACCACGAGCAAUAAUUUCACGCACAAAAUAAUACCAAAACAUCAAUGUGCUUUGUCCUCUCAUGACCCAUCAGAUCUUUCAUAAGGAAGAUAACACUCUAACUGUCGCAAAAGGCUAUUGCAAUCUGUAAGUCUUUGCUAAGUUUACCAAACAGACCUUUCAACCAAAUAGCUUCCUUUAAAGCCUCUAUAAUAGCCAUAUACUUUACCUCAGUAGUUGACAAAGCAACCGUAGUCUGUAAGGUAGCUUUCCAACUAAUAGCACAACUACCAAUGGUGAAAACAUAGCUGUAAGAGAUCUCCUUUUAUCAUGAUCUCCUGUAAAAUCAGAAUAAGCAUACCCGAUUACUCUAUCUCUAUAUCUCCCAAAAUGCAAACAAACAUCAGCAGAUCCAUGCAAGUAUCUGAAAAUUCACUGAACUGCUUUCCAAUGUUCUUUGCUAGGAUUUUCCAUGUAUUUGCUAACUAAACUAAUGACAUAAGAUAAAUUUGGUUGUGAACACACCAUCACAUACAUAAGAGACCCGAUAGCACUAGAGUAUGGAAAUCGCGAUGUAUAGUCACACUCAUCAUCUAUUUUUGGAGAUAAAGUGGCCAAGAGUUUAAAGUGAGCUGCCAAUGGAGUACUUACAGGUUUGGCAUUUUGCAUAUUGAACCUGUGAAAUACUUUUUUAAUUUGUUCUUUCUGACUCCAGUAUAACUUACAAUUCUUUCCAUCCCUCAGAAUUUCCAUACCAAGAAUCUUCUUUGCUUCACUUAGAUUCUUCAUAUCAAACUCCUUUCUGAGCUGGGUUUUAAAUUUUAUUGUCUCUCUUAUAUCCUUUGCUAUAAUAACCAUAUCAUCAAUUCACAAGAGAAGAGAGUAAUCCACAGAUUUUUUAUAGUCUGUGAGAUAAUAGUGUGGGAGUAAUAUUGUAGUGAGUUUUGAGAAAUAAAAGUGUGUUGUUUCGUUUAUAAAUAGUAGUUGUUUUUGACACUGUCAAGUUGUAAUCACUAUAUGUAUUCCUCCAUUGAGUAUUUUACUCACCCCGUUAUAAUAUUUGGUGUCAUUGUUACUCUCUUGUUAUUGCUAUUUUUUGUGGAUAUUAUCCUGGGUGGAAAUAUUUAUUUUCCCAAUACUAAGAAUGUGGAGGUGGAGUGGAAUAGAUUAUUUAUGCACAUUCUAGGAUGGAACCACUAUGGUUUUGUUCAUAUUAAAGAGGAACUUGUUUCUAAUAAAUCUGGGUCAGGGGAUGUGUUAUGAAAUGAACCAUGGCAUGUGGUAUAUAGAGGUUGCAAUGAUAGCAAUAGUAGUGCUGGGUUUGGUACUUGCUUUAGUAGGAGGAGUAACAACGAGAGAGGACUUUGACCAAAAAGAUUAAUUUGAAGCUUCGAAGGGUUUUCAUUAUUAAGUGACAAAAUAGAAAUUUGUUUCAAAAAGAAAUUUUUAUAUUUAAAACUCAGAGUCACCACUUAGCAUAAUCCGGUGUGACAAGUCACCUUUGGAAAUCCUUUUCAAAAUGGUUUUAACUCUAUAACUGAUCUGCGAAUAGAGAUUCUAGUUAAGGAAUUCUGUUGACCGAGGGGGAGGUGUUAGGCACCCCUCGAUCCCGUGGUUCGACCACAGUCGCUUGGUGGAGCAUAUCGGCUAAUUUGACAUUAUGAAUAUAUAAACCCCACAAAAUUACACAAAACAAUCAAACAAACAAAUAAACAAAACAAAUAUAAAAUUAGUCCAGUCCGAUUAUUACAAUCCUGAAAUAGAAAAAUGCGAAAAUAUAAGCCUAUUCUAUUCUAUGCUAAUUCUAAACUACACUCCCUUGCUUUCUCUACCCGACGUUUCGGGACUUGAUCGUGCGUCAUCUUCAAGUAUAUGGUACUUCAAGCAUUCUCCGGAUAAAUCAAUACAAAUCCUUCAGGGCAUCCCCCGACCAAAUAAAUACAAUAGAUCUCAAUGCAUAAAUCAAAACCAUUCCACAAACAUUUCAUCAUUCAACAAUCACAAAUCAUAAGUUUUGCGUACCCCCUAUCGCUUCCCUAUCCUUAUGAUGGCCUAUCUUAUGCUAUUAUUAUGUUCAACAUAAUGAAUCAAAAUUAAUCCAAAUUCAACAACAUCCCUAUCCAUUUCAUGUCAAACAAUCAAUUCAAAUUACUUCAUUAAUCUCUGAUUCCCAUCCCCAAAUUUAUACACGACAGUUUAAACAUAAGAACAACUCUCCAUCCAUAUCAUCAUCGAUUUCAUGAUUACGACUACUUAUUUACGUAAAACAGCACUAAUUAUCAACAAAACUGUUCAGUCAACAAACAACGUACUACCACAACAUCCAUGCACCAAAUAUCAUAAACAAGGAAGUCAAAAGAGUAAAGAUUAGAAAUGGACCUUCAAAGAAUGAAUUUCUUUGAGAAUAAUGUUUAAGAAGGCCCGAACAUAGAAUCCCGAAUAAAAUACCUCGACAAUGAACUAAAAUCAAACUCGGUAUUUGAGAAAUUGCAACCAACGACAGACCACGAUGAGCAGACUGACCCAAACCAAAUGCAGUACCCACAUUGACUGAUUUCAAAAUCGACUUGGAUAAAAAUGGGUGACGCUGUUGUUGUUCUCCUGGACAUCAUAAAUUGAUUCGGACCAAAUUCAAAACCAGCAAGACAAACUCAAUACGAACUCCUAAAUUGAUAAUUUUGAACAGAAUUGCGAAUUGAAAACCAAAACUAGUUUGACCCAGAAUAGGAAUUGGAAAAACAAACCACGCACGAACCCAUUUCCGAUCCGGGGAAAACAGACCACCCCCUCCCAAAAUUUGGCAAGUUGACUGGGUUUCCCCUCACUUUUUUUGUUUUAUUCUCAGUUUCUAAUCUCCGAUCCCCCUCUCUCACACAUGAUUCACUAUUGUUCCCAACUAUUUUUUGUUCUCAAUAGCUGGGUGCAUGGAUGGAAGUGUGGAUUUCACUUCGGUAAGGGUCCUUUUUUGGUGACAGUGGUGUGUAUAUGUGAUAGUGUGUGUAGUUCUCUUGGGACCAAGAAAAAGGAAAAAGAAAUGGAGUAUGUAUGUGAUGGGUGAGGUCCUCCAUGAGAAUGAGUGUUGUUGUGAUGGUGGAGAAGAAAAGAAAAUUCCCCACUGUGUGUUGUACGUCUAUGGUGAAGAAGCCAUUAAGAUUAUUCUGUGUGGGUGUUGAGAAAGUGAGGAAAUUUUGAAGUGUUCUUUGUACCCUUGGUCAAUUGAGAGUGGUGAGUAUAUGGGUUUAUGUGUAUGUGUGAAUUGUGCCCCCCUCUAAUUCUCCUUCCUCAAUUUGGUAUUUUUUUAAGUAUAUAAAAAUGGAAAAGAUCGCUAUAAGCUGUAUCCCCCAAUUCCCGUGGGGCCCUCUUCCCUUUUUGUUGUAUGUGUAAUUUGUUAUGGACAAAGAAGGAAAAAACUUGAGAUGGAAAUAGGUGGGGUCACGUGGGUAGGUAGGGUAGGGGUAGGGUGUUGAUGAGGUGUAAAAAUUAGUUAGGAUAAAGGAAUAUUUUGGGAUUGGUGAUUUAAUUUGUUAGGAUUUAUUGUAUUUGUUUUCUUGUGGGGAAAGUAUAGAAUGGGUGAGGGUGACUUGGGAGGGACAAAAUUAGGUGUCUACAGUAUGCCCCCUUUGAAUGUAAACAUGAAGUGUUUUCAGUCAAAGAAGUAGACAACUAGACAAAAUUUUAUCCCGACCAUUAUUCAAAAAGAAUGAAACAGAAGGAAGGAGGGAAACCAAGUCUUGACUUUGGACAUCAUACUCAUUCCUAGUUAUGAGGGAAUCAAAUCACAGGUAUCUCAAAGGAUUGGAAGGAGAGGGACUAGACUGAGUUGGAGAGUCGAGUAAGGUUCCGGCGAGGUUCCAGUCCGUGACUCUGUCAUUACAUAAAAAAUGAAAAUUACGAGUUAAAACAUAAAUAAAAUUACAAAAAUUCUAUUUAUGCGGCUUCUUUUGGACUCUUGACUUGAGUUUCAUCACCCUAUUCUUCAGGCGGGAUCCUGACUUGAAAUUUCUUCAACUUGUUGCCUGACUUUCAAUUUCUUCUCCCUGUUCUCUAGGUGGGCUCCUGACUUGCUUUUUUUCAAUUUGUUGACUUUCAAUUUCUUCACCUUGUUGUUUGACUUUCCAUUUAUUCGCCCUGUGCUUCGGGCGGGCUCCAAUAUUGCUUGAAUUAUCAAAAUAAGGAAGUGCGUCUCCUUACAGAUGUUGCUAGAAUUACCAAAACAAGGAAGUAUGUCUCCUUACCAAUGUCGCUUAAAUUACCAAAACAAAGAAGUGUGUCUCCUUACCAAUGUUGCUUGAAUCACCCAAAUAAGUAAGUGCAUCUCCUUAUAAAUGUUUCUAGAAAUACCCAAACAGGAAAGUGCGUCUCUUUACCAAUGCCUCUUAAAUUACCAAAAUAAGGAAGUUCAUCUCCUUACCAAUGCCGCUUAAAUUACCAAAAUAAGGAAAUGUGUCUCCUUACCAAUGCAGCUUGAAUUACCCAAACAAGGAAGUGUGUUUCCUUACAAAUGUUGCUUGAAUUGUCCAAACAAGGAAGUGUGUCUCCUUACAAAUGUUGCUUGAAUUACCCAAACAAGGAAGUGCAUCUCCUUACAAAUACCACUUGAAUUACCAAACAAGGAAGUACGUCUCCUUACAAAUACCACUUGAAUUACCAAACAAGAAAGUGUGUCUCCUUACAAAUGUUGCUUGAAUUGCCUAAACAAGGAAGUGCUUCUCCUCGAGAUAUUGGAUUAUGAGCUUCACAAUGGUUUUUGAUUACCAGACCUGUGCAGCAACAUUGCCUCUUGUGUUUAUAGAAAUGAGAAUAUUACAUCCUCUGAUGUCUAGGCUUUGAAAUUCUUGAUCUGAAUGUAACAUGUGUUCUUGUUUCAUACAAAGAAAACUUGUGAGUUUAAAAACAUGGUGGCUGGUUUGUGGCUUUAGCUUUUGCAAAAAUGGCUCUUUCCCCCGUCACAUUUAACCUUGCUUCCAACCAUUAGCAUAUGUCAUCGACUUGCUGCAUCAUUGACCAAACUCAGAUUAUCAAGAGUGACUCUGAAACAAACACAAUAUCUAUGCUUUUCCGUGCUUCUCAGAUAAACCCUUUGAACCUUGGUAUUUCCAUGAGUUUCCAGACUUGUCAAUUGACAAAAAUUUCUGCAUGUCUUAUUUCGGCUCACAAUCAUGUCUCUUUCAUGUGUUGGCCUUUUGUCUUGCUUUGCGCAAUUGAAAAAGCUAGUAGCCAGUUUUGAAAUCUUUUCUCACUUGUUUUGAUAUAGACUUGACUCAAAGACAAGAGAAAAAUGGCGAUGACUUUUAUUUUGACAACUGACUCAAGAAAACAAAAUAAAAAACAAAAGAAGAAAGAAAAACAAUGAAUUUCCCAUUUGAAACAAAGAAAUGAAAAAUUAUCUAGAAAUGACAGUCAACUCUAAUGAUUGUGCCAUGCAUUUUGGAUUAAUCUGCCUGAUCUUUCCAUCCAAACUUUCUACCAAUUGUUGUUGAGUUAAUGGCCAUGAAACUGAGUUGUUUCUUUAGGUCAAUUGCCUUUAAGACCUCAUUUGGAUAGUGACACCUUGAAGGAUUUUUACCAACAAGCCUUUGUCAUUCUUUUUUUCUCAGCUCACUAUUUUCUUAUGGUGUUUGUGAGGGUUUUUCACCAAUGAGACUCUUAUUUACAUUUUUCCCAACUCACAGUCGUCUUACAGUACCCGUAAGGGUUUUCAUCGAUAAUACUCUCUCAUUUUUAUCUCUCUCGACUUACCAUCGUCUUAUGGUGCUCGUGAGGGUUUUCACUAAUAAGACUCUCAUUUUUAUUUAUCUCCUGAUUCCUUAGGCUGAGGAAGACAAAUAGUUCCAAAAAUGUGUCAUCAUAUCCCUUGCAUGCUUAGCCUUAACAUUCUCAAAGAUCUUUCUUUAGUUUUACAUUGGCCUUUGGAUAGGGUUAGAAAGAAAGGAUGACAUAAGGCUCAAACGACACUUGAAGUGGGGUAGGACUUACAACUUUUGGAAUCGACUCAAACAAUGAGGAUUAACCCAUGCCCCAGUUUCUUUGGCAAGGUGACUCUAAACUAUUUAUUUGGUUGGACCGAGCUCAGAGUAGGGCAGCCUAUGUAUCUCACCCUGAAAAGAAGAGAAUCAGUCACGCGUAGUUCUGGCGGCUUGUUUUGCUUGAUUCUGAUUUCUUUUUUUCUUUUGAAUUUUUUUUUCUUUGUGAUUUUCCUGACUUUAUUUUUCUUGACACUCUUUUUUCUUUUUGGACAUAUUUUUUCUCUCUUCUUAUUUUUUUUUGAAACUUUCUGACUCUAUUCUUUUGCUCGACACUUUUCUUUUGAGUUUUUUCCUGACUUUAUCUUGAUUCCAAAAGAGGGGUAUGAAAGAAAAUAGGACUAAAGCUCAAAUGGGGUAAACAAAGGAUGAUGCAAUGUUUGGAUAGCAGAAAUUCCUUCGUCAUAUCAAUCCUUAAAAAAUACAAGUACAUAUCAUGCAAUAUGGAAGUUAAAGAUGAAAGAUCAUUUGUGACAUCUUUUACAGCAUUAACUUUGACUGAGUCUAUGCGUCACUACUUCUUCCUCAAACUCCACCUUUGUUGUACAUUCCUCACAUCAAAUGACUCAUGCUUUCGUGAAGCUGAUUUUUCUGUCCCUCGGGAUCACACAUCCGCUAUUUGACCUAAUUGAGCAAUGUUUUUCAAUUGAUCAAAUUAUUCUUGUCAUUCUCAAAAUAAUUGCCUUAAUUUUCAAAGAACGUUUGAACUUGUCACCAAAUGUCUCAGCACUCUACCUAUUUUCUCAGAUGCUCUCUUUUUCUAACUUUAGCCCUCUGAUUCAAUGUUUCAUGGUUAAUCUGGAUUUUAAGAUCCAGCUGAAAAUUCUCCAGGCAUGUCAUAACACUAGAAUCAACAUAAAAUAUGAUGCGUAAAGAAAAUAAACACAUAUUUAAAAUACAAAGGGAAAGGGACACUUCAUUUAGUUGAAAUAAAAUAUAGAAAGGUUUGAACAUAGAAAACACAGGGACAAAACAAGAUAGAUCCUGAACUACAACCUUUAAAUAUUUGAAAAACAGAAAAGAAAAGAAAACAAACUACCAGACCUCUUCCUAGUAGGGAGAGGGGUGACUUCACAAUUGCUCAGCCUGACAUCUUAGCCACUGGUUUUCAUAUCAUCAUGACUAGAGCUUUUCUCACUGUCAAUGGUCUGCACCAUAAUUUAUUUAUCUUGAAUCAUGUUUUCUAUUUCGCUUUUCAAAGAACGACAAUCUUCAAUACUGUGACCCUGAACAUCAGAAUGAUAUGCACAUCGUACAUUAGCAUCAAAACUUCUUGAAUGUAGGUCAGGAGUAUACAUAAGGAGAGGAGUGAUCAUGCCCUACUAUACCAAUCUCAGGAAUAAACUUGCAUACGACUCUCUGAUUGGUGUGAAACUAUCUCUCAACUUCUGUCUCAUUUCAUCGUUUGUCUUAAAUUAAAAACCUGGCCUAGAAGGGCUUCGAUAUGUAUCUGGAGUUAAAGGAUGACUCGACAGAGUUGGCAUGAGCCAGUGUGGGUAAGAUGGAGGUUGAACAUAUGGUUGUGCAUUAUACACUUGAUAUGGAGGUGGGGAAAUGGAAAAUAAUGGAUUUUGGGAAAGAUUCUGUGGAGCUUGGGCAUAAACUUGGGUUUGAGCCUAUGGAUAAUGAUGGUGUGGUCCUCUUGACCGUGCCUAUUAUCCAACUACAAUGGCAGAUGCAUCUUCCUCAUACUUUUUCCCUCCGAAAUUUCCCAAACCUUUUUGAAUUGCUUGAGCAGUCGCUUUCAAUGUUGUAAAACUUACAAUGCGGUCGGUUUUAAUUCCAUCCUCUAUCAUCUUCCCCAUUUUAAGGACCUCAAUAAAUGGCUUUCCUAAUGCAGGUAACAAGUGUUAAUACUAUGUUUCAUCCUACGCUUGAAUAAAUACCUCUACUAUCUUACUUUCUUUCAUUAACGGUUUUACCCUAGCAGUUUGUUCAUGCCAUCUAAUCGCAUACUCUCUGAAAGUCUCAAUAUUUUUUUUCUUCUUGUUAGUUAGGGAUUUCUCAUCAGGAAUUAAAUCCACAUUGUAUUGGAAUUGUUGCACAAAUUCAUUAGCUAGGUCAUCCCAACUAAUCCACUUGUCGAUGUCUUGGUCAACAAACCAUUCCGAACCUAGGCCUGAAAGACUCUCACCGAAAUAUGCCAUGAGUAAUUCUUCCUUCCCCCCAGCACCCCUUAGUUGGUUGCAAUAACGUCUCAAAUGUGCUACAGGAUUGCCAUGUCCAUCAUACUUCUCAAACUUUGGCAUUUUAAAACCAAAAGAAAGAUGAACCCCUGGAAACAUGCACAGAUCUUUAUAUGAGAUAGUUUUCUGGUCAUUUUCUCUUGUUCUUCUGUUAUAACAGGCUUCUCAGCGUUAAGAGGAAAUUCAGACGGGUGAGUAUAUCCAUAAGGAUUAGUCGACUUAAAUGUGGGCUCAAUAGCAUGAUUUUAAUCAGCAAAAAUAUUCAAUACAGGCUCUCUCGCAGAGUGGGGAGGCACAACUUGUGGAUAAACCUCAAAAGUAGGAGCUUCGGGUGGGGGUGGUGCUGCAAAAACAUAAACAAUGGGUAGAGCCGAGCAUGUGGUAGCUUUUUGUUG